rnacentral:rRNA from 1 species
AGAAUCAACGCUGGCGGCGUGCCUAACACAUGCAAGUCGAACGAGAAAGUGGAGCAAUCCAUGAGUAAAGUGGCGCACGGGUGAGUAACACGUGACUAACCUACCCUUGAGUGGGGGAUAACCUAGGGAAACCUGGGCUAAUACCGCAUAAUACCUUCGGGUCAAAGGAGCAAUUCGCUUUAGGAGGGGGUCGCGGCCGAUUAGUUAGUUGGCGGGGUAAUGGCCCACCAAGACUGUGAUCGGUAUCCGGCCUGAGAGGGCGCACGGACACACUGGAACUGAAACACGGUCCAGACUCCUACGGGAGGCAGCAGUGGGGAAUUUUGCGCAAUGGGGGAAACCCUGACGCAGCAACGCCGCGUGGAGGAUGAAGCCCCUUGGGGCGUAAACUCCUUUCGAUCGGGAAGAUAAUGACGGUACCGAGAGAAGAAGCCCGGCUAACUUCGCGCCAGCAGCCGC